rnacentral:rRNA from 1 species
UACGUAGGGUGCAAACGUUGUUCGGAGUUACUGGGCGUAAAGCGCGUGUAGGCGGCUCGGAUAGUCGGGUGUGAAAGCCCUGGGCUCAACCCAGGAAGUGCACUCGAUACUGCCGAGCUGGAGUCCCGGAGAGGAUGGCGGAAUUCUCGGUGUAGAGGUGAAAUUCGUAGAUAUCGAGAGGAACACCUGUGGCGAAGGCGGCCUUCUGGACGGUGACUGACGCUGAGACGCGAAAGCGUGGGGAGCAAACAGG